CAAAUAUAAGUAUAACGUAUAAGCACAUUUCCAUUACCAAAAAUAUCUACACAUGCUCAUUGAAAUGACUUCUAUCUACAUUUCUGCAUAACCUGAAAUACGGACAAAAAACAAACACCUCUAUCCAUUGAAAGAAACAAUGUAUGGUGAGUUAGCCUGAGUUGUAAUAUGUGCAUAGAAUAAGCUAACAAACUGAGAGUACCACGGAUGGCAACAAGGGGCCAGGCGUCACUACAUACGUAAAAACUUGAUAUAGCUCACUAAAUACAAAAUAGGAGGUGUUUAACACAUACCUGCACCUGCUUUCAUAAUGCCUAAGAGAGAGUUUCAAACCAAUGCUUGACUAACCCAAGCUGAUUUUCUUUGAAUAGUUUGUUAGACUGGAGGUUAAACCAUUCAAGUUCGGACAUUCAGUAUCUCUACAUAUUCAAACAAAACUUCCCCAGAAACUGAAAUGGUUGCUGUGUUUCUGCUUGUGUGCAUCUCACUGAAACUGUUCCUUCAGACUCAAGGUCAAAACAUCCAAAAAGCAAAGAUUUAUGGUAAAACCAGAGAGAUUCCAGAAGGUGAUGACCUUGAGGUUACUUGCAGCACGUUUGGUUAUACGACAAAAAGUGUUUAUUUAUAUCUGUGUCAAAACGGGAAAGCUAUAGAAAUGAAAAGACAACGCAAUCAAGAAGACACAGUCUUUAGAAUACAGAAUAUAGAAAAGAACAAGACAGGAAAUUACAGCUGUGUGUUCUCAGAAAAUGAUUUGAAAACAACUGAAGUGAUGGGAUAUGGCGAAAACCACAUCUUCAUAAAUG